rnacentral:lncRNA from 1 species
GGAUUGAGCCCUCAAUCUGUGGGAUCUGAUGUUAUCUCCAGGUGGAUACUGUCAGAACUGAAUUGGAAGAUACCCAGCUGAUGUCCACUGCAGAAAUGAUUGCUUCUUGGUGUGUGGGAAGAAACUCACACAUAUUUGGUCACAGACGUCUUCUGUGAUGAUGUUGUGAGUGAGAGAAUAGAAAAAAAGGCUGAGGAAACAAACUGGAAAUCAAAGGAGGUGCAUAAUAUUGUAGAUUAUGAAAGAAAGAUAACUACAGGACUCCAAUCGGAGAAACCAUGCUCAAAAAUAGGCGUUGGUCUCACAUCAAAAGAUUGUAUUUUAGCAAAAAAGAGGGAAGAAGGAGAGAGGACCAGAGGGAGGAGGAAGAAGAAAAUAUAGAGAAAGCAUGUGUUGUGAAGCCUUAAUGAUUGCAGAAUCUGCACUGAUGGAUUAAUGGAGGUUCUUUAUACUGUUCUCUCUCCUUUACAUAUGUUUAUGAAUUUUCUUAAUAAAAAGCUGAUAAAGCAAGAUAUAGAAUAGUAUAUGGAGGGUGAAUUGUAUAGCAUAUAAUUAUAUUUCAAUAAAGCUAUUAUUUUGUAAAAAGAAUGCUAUAUAGAGUUUGCUACCUUUGGAAAGAUAAAUGUAUCCUACAUUACAUACAAUAUAAACAAAGAUAUAUUGUAAUACGUACAAUAAAAACAAACAAAAAAACCCUAAAAAAAAUGGCAGCCUCUACUGAGGUUAACACUGAGAGACAGAAGUGGAAAUGGUGACUCACUUCCUUGUGUAUCCUUCUAAUGUCUUAGAAGUCUGUAUUAUGUGUUUGUAUUAUCUAUCCAAAAAUUUGAAUCAGAAAAUUUAUAACUGAUGGGGAAGCAUUUCACAGCAUCUCAAGAAUCACAGCAAAAAUGUUUUAGAUUUGGUAAACGUGGUGUCCCUCAAUGAAAUGGCUGCAAUCAAAGGUUCUCAAAUCAGUGACUCCAGAGAGCAAAGCAAGGACUGAGGGACUUGGUGGCUGCUCUCAUGGGAAAUGCAACACUGCCAGUCACUGGUGCGGCCACUGGGAGUCUGCACUGACUGGACACCCUCUGGUAGAGCCUUGGCCCCAAGGCGACUGGUGAUUCCCUUCACUCAUUCAGCCCCACAGAAACAUAUAAAAUAGUUGCUCAAACCAGUGUAUAACAUGGCUACAUUUUCAAAUUGGCACUCGCUCUACUCCACCAAUCAACAAUAUUGAAAUUGAAAUCAAAAGUGAAAAGUAAAGUCAGUUGCUCUCUCCCAAAGGGAUUCUGAUGCCUGUGAAAAGACCUGCUGACCUGCUGGCUCACUCCAGCAAAAAGCACAAGAAGCCAGCUCUGCGGAAAGUAGGGGAAAGGGCAUCUAUUGCUCUGUGGGGCAAGGGUUGUUACCAGCUGACCUUUGAGAGCCCAUGAGUACAGCCAACUACACACAUAUUGGUCUUGGGGCUUGUUUCAUUACUUGGAAAAAUUCCCUUUAAAGGUUAAUGUCAAGAAAUAAACUCUGUUACAUUGAGUCCCAUGACUCAAGUGGACUUUGAAAAAACAUCUCUGGAAUGCUCUUUUCUCUGAGUAUCAGCCUCCCAUUUAAACUCCGUCUGAACUGAGGGCUUCCAAAAAGGUAUAUCGCUGAUCUGCAGGCCAGUAACAUACUCUGUUCAGUGUUAUGCAAGGAGAGUAUGUUUUUUGUCAACCCAGAACUCAAAGGCAGGGCUAACACCCAUGUAUCAUAAAGACUGCCUCAUACACUAACAUUCAACUAUUCAACUGAGAGGGGGCUCAAGGGGCUUUCUGAGUACCUAUAAUGUUCUAUUUCUUGAUCUGGGUGAUGGCUAUACAGGGUUGCUUGUGUGUGUAAAUUAAACUGUAAGCUUAUAAUUUGAGCCUUCUUCUGUAUGUAUGUCACCUCUAUUAAAAGCUGUAUUUAUAAAAACUCCAUUACAGAUCUACUGUGGUUCUUUAAUACUCUCCUAUGACCUGUUCCAUGCCUCAACUCCUCUUUCCUGUCUUUCUAAUAUACCUCAGUGUGAAGAGUUCUACUUUAUACACCUUGUAUUUCAGAAAAGGUUCAAUUUUUUCCAAACGAAUCUUGCAAUGCUUCAAAACAUGUUAAUACAACUUUGUAUGUCACCAGCUCCACCCCUUUUUGUGCCUGGGACUCUGGCUGG